rnacentral:rRNA from 1 species
GUGAGUAGUUCAGAGUUUGAUCCUGGCUCAGGAUGAACGCUGGCGGCGUGCCUAACACAUGCAAGUCGAACGGGGUGAAGAGCUUCGGCUUUUCACUUAGUGGCGAACGGGUGAGUAACGCGUGAGAAACCUGCCUUUCAGUGGGGGAUAACAGUUGGAAACGACUGCUAAUACCGCAUAACGUAUAUAAGGGGCAUCCCUGAUAUACCAAAGCUUUAUGUGCUGAAAGAUGGUCUCGCGUCUGAUUAGCUAGAUGGCGGGGUAACGGCCCACCAUGGCGACGAUCAGUAGCCGGUCUGAGAGGAUGAACGGCCACAUUGGGACUGAGAUACGGCCCAG